AUAAAAUCAAGAUGGCUACCUGUCAAUGUACUUUGAAUACCGUAAAUACAGGCUAUGUGCAGUGUAAAAUAUUUAAUUAAAAAAAUCCUUAGAGUGAUGCAAUAAUCAAGUGAAUAAUAUUUUUUAUUUAUAGUAAUUCGUUUCGUAUUCUUUCUUUAGUGAUCGUCAAUUCUGGAUACAAACAGUAAACUGGAUGAAAUGCUGUGGGGAAGUGUUAUGUUAUAACCUAAGAAAAAUGAUUUUCUUAAUUAAAUCCGAGAAUAUAGAUGAAUUCAGGAUGUACUCUUAAUCAAAUUAUUUUAACAAAUACUAAUCAGAUCAGCAUGCAGAUCUAUAUUUUAAAUUCCAAUCCAAGAACGUUAUACUCAAAAGAAGAGGAGUCCAUUACACCAUUGGAUCAAUGGAUAUAUAUUUCAUUUUCUUACGGCUAACGAUUAGAAGAUUUGCAUUGAUUAUGUAAUCCGAAAAAGAGUUUUAUUCUAUAAUAUUAUGUAAAUAGAACGCAGCUGCAGUAACAAAGAAUAAUCAAGAGAAGAAUCUGUUAAAAGGAAGGAAAUAAUUUGACUAGAAGUGUCUACUCAUUAUUAUCAAGAUUGUGAUAAGAAGAAUACAACAAUACUGCAACUAUGAAAGAUUGUUUAAUGCACUUUUCUUCAUCAUACUUGCACUGCGAGAAAACCAUAUGUAGUAAUAUUUUAUCAAAAGAAUACCAGAACACAUGUAUCUCUUAGUUAUCACAAAAUAAGAAAACAAGUGGCAAAUACAUUAUAUUAAGAAAUUCUAUUCAUGUCAAAAUCUUUUAUCAAGUUUUGUACACGGUAAUAGAAGAUAUUAUUUUUUUAUUAGCUGACAAGAAAAAUUGAUGUAUUUGUUAAUAAAUAUCUUAUUUGCAAGGAAUUUCAUGUGAAUUAUUAUGGGAAUAGAAUGCAGCUGCUCUGAUUAAAA